UGGGCCUGGUCGUUCUGCUCCAAUGCCUCUGCUCGUCUCCUCCCCGCAUGUUUGAUUCUGGUUCUCUUUUGCUCAAAAAAAAAAUCUUGUUCUCUUCCUCUUUUCCUCUACCCCUCUCUCUCUCUCAAUCCUCUCUCAAAAACCCAAAUCGGAAAUCUUCAAAUCGGAUAAAACCUCCAACCCAAUUACCCCAAGUAUUCCUAAUUAACACAUCGC
rnacentral:lncRNA from 1 species